GAUUUAACAGUAGGUCAACAGGACAACAUCUCUUCAGUCCAGCUCUUAGUCUACCACUAACACAGCUGAGAAAACGUAAGAGCACUAACACAACGAGAAGCGUAAAGAGAAAGACGUCUGAUACGGACAAUUCUUUUCAGAGACAACAGCAUUUUUCUGAGUCAGAUUAUACCAGGCGAACAACGUUCUCCAUGAAAAACUGGACAGAAUCAGUGAGCCACAACAUGAUAUCAGCCAAGGACUCUGAGGAGGAGCUGCUGCACCAGUGGCCGUUGACUUAUACAGCACCGGCCCUUGAAGAGUUUGACGUGCCUCUAGACUCUGAGGACGAGGACCUGUGUGAUGAGUGGGGGCUCCCCUUAAUAUCACUGGAUCUUCAACAGCUAGACUCUUGGAAGAAUCUCCCAGUCAAAACAAAAAAAUCUUUCUGGAAGAGAAUAUCUGACUUUUUCCAACGGUUGAUGAAGUUUAAGAAAUAAGAUGCAAGCUGUCACAUUUGCUCAUCAAAACAUGAGCUUGAGUUGAUCAACCAUCAAACUGAAGACCUCUCUACUGUGGACAGCCAGUAGAUACCACAUGUCACCUGUGGUCGGGCAUGAGGGGGGCAGUCCAUCACUGUUACCUCCCACAGCAGCACACAUAUAACUUGCAGACAUUGUACAGGGAGCUAAUCAGAAAUGUUCCCCCCACUGUGUCAGUAGCUCUGAGCUGUAUGUGUGCCGUCUGUGUGGAGUCAACAUGUCCUCCCCAGGUCUCUGUGGGUCUCUUCCGGGUGCUCCGGUUUCCUCACAAUUUUUAAAAUAAUCAUUGAAAUUUGGAUUUGAAUUUUAAGAAACAAAGAAAUAAAAUUCUUGUGCAAAUUGCU